GACGAACGCUGGCGGCGUGCUUAACACAUGCAAGUCGAACGGAAAGGCCCUGCUUUUGUGGGGUGCUCGAGUGGCGAACGGGUGAGUAACACGUGAGUAACCUGCCCUUGACUUUGGGAUAACUUCAGGAAACUGGGGCUAAUACCGGAUAGGAGCUCCUGCUGCAUGGUGGGGGUUGGAAAGUUUCGGCGGUUGGGGAUGGACUGGCGGCUUAUCAGCUUGUUGGUGGGGUAGUGGCUGACCAAGGCUUUGACGGGUAGCCGGCCUGAGAGGGUGACCGGCCACAUUGGGACUGAGAUACGGGCCAGACUCCUACGGGAGGCAGCAGUGGGGAAUAUUGCACAGUGGGCGGGAGCCUGAUGCAGCAACGCCGCGUGCGGGAUGACGGCCUUCGGGUUGUAAACCGCUUUCGCCUGUGACGAAGCGUGAGUGACGGUAAUGGGUAAAGAAGCACCGGCUAACUACGUG
rnacentral:rRNA from 1 species